CUGCCUCUCCUCUUGCUUGUGCUCCCUUUUUCUGUCUCUCCCUCAAAUAAAUAAGUAAAAUCUUAAAUAAAAAAAAAAAAAAUGGAAAAGGUCAUGAAUCUACUAUAGUGGAGAUUUAAAAAUUCUUAAUAUGACAAACUAUGAAGAAAACCUGCUGAACAAAAGAGAAAAAAACCCUGUAGUUUCUUCAAUAAAUAAAUGACAAAGGGAAAAAAAAAGCAGUGAAUAUAGAUUAAAAGAAAUGUAAAGUCAAAUGAACUUGUGGAUUCAAAGUAUAAAAGUAGGAAACACUACAAGACAGAAGUCUGAACACUGGUGUUUGAUAUGAAGAAAUUAUUUAUUUGGUUUGAUAAUAUAACUGAUCAUAUUUUAAGUGGUCUUUAGCAAUACACAUAGAACUGUUGACAUGUGAAUUCUCUCUGGGAUUUGUUUCUGUAUAUGAGAGGCAGAUGUGGGAGGGUUAUAGUUUGAGUAAGACUGGCUGAGUUAAUAACUGGUAAAGCUAGGGGAUGAGGACAAGGUUAUGAUACUAUUUUGUCUGCUUUUGCACAUUUGAAAUUUUCCAUAAUCACACUGUUUUAGACUGUAAGAAUAUAAGUAAUUUUAUUUGCUGAUAAAUUUGUAAGUAGUCUAAAUGGACAAUUUCCUGAAAUAUAUAAUGUGUAUGUGUAUGUAUAUAUUUAUAUAUAUACACACAUAUUUAUAUACAGUUAUAUAAAAUUUACAGAAACUAAAUCAGAAAUAGAAAACCUGAAAAAUCUUACCAAGUUAACAAAAUUGAUUUUGUACUUAAAAUAUAUAAACAAAAAAAUUGGUCAAAUUGGAUUUUAUCAGGUACUCAAGGAACAUAUUAUAUAAAUGGUUUCAGAAAAUUGAAGAAAAAAAGAACAUUCCCCAGCCUUUUCUAUUAAAACUAAACAACAUGGAGAUUAUAAACCAGGAUUAUUUGUCGAGUGGAGAGGGGGGGAGACUCUAAAAACUAAGCAAUAACAAACUAAACCUAGUAAAGUUUUUUUUAGAAAUCAUGACCUAGAAUUCUUAGACAGUUUAAUAUUAGAAAAUUGAAUGAUGUAGUUUCCCAUAUUAACAGAUUAAAGGAGAAAAUCCAGAUAUAUCAGUAGAUGGCAGAAAAAAUACUCCAUGAAACUUAAAACCUAUUGAUGAAAAUCUCACAGUAACUGCAAUAUAGGAGAAUGCAUUUUAAUCAUGAUAAAGAAUAUCUACAAAAACCCUAAUUCAAAUGCUGUAAUUAAUGGUAAAACCUUAAAAGCACUUCCUAUAAGCACAGAACAAGUCAAGGAUGCCUGUUGUCAAGGUUUUGUUUGGUGUUCUGAAAUCCUAGUCAGUGCAACAAAAUGAGAGAAAGGAAAAAAGUUCAUCGGUUGUAAAGAUCAGUUGCUUUUCUUUAUACUACAGCCAAAAGCAGUUAGAAAAUAAAACUUUGUAAAGCACAAUUUACAAUAAGAACAAAUCAGGUAUCAGGAAGCAAAUUUUAAAAUUAUGUUGAAAUGCAUAAAAGAAGGCCUACAGAAAUAGAGAUCAUUUUCAUGGAUGGGAAGAUUCAAUAUCAUAAAAAUGUUCAUUGUUCUCUAAUUUAUCAAUUUAAAGUAAUUCCAGUCCAAAUCCCAGUAGGGCUUUCUAGGGAAGAUGGCAGGCUAAUUCCAGAAUUCACAUAGAAGAGAAAGUGUUCACAAGAACCAUAACAGUUUUGAGUAAAAACAUGUGGGGCUGCUUACCCUUCAAGAUAAAGUUGUGGUAGUUGGAUGGAAUGGAACUGUCUGAGAUAUACAAACUAAUAAAAUUGGAUAAAAUUAGAAGGUAAAACUAUACAUGUAUGGUGGUCGCUGGGGGGAGGUGGGUAAGGGAAUAGGUGAAGUAGAUAAAGGGAAUUAAAUGGUAUAGACUUUGAGUUAUAAAUAAGGCACAGACACGAAAAGGACAGCAUACAGAGUAUAGUCAAUAAUACUGUGAUAAUGUUGUUUGGUGAUUACUCUUACCGUGGGGGAGCACUGAAAAAUGUAUGGGAUUGUUGAAUCUCUGUGGUACUCCUGAAACUAAUAGAACACUAUAUGUGAACUCUAUCUCAGGUUUUUGUUUUGUUUUUUUUUUUUAAGUAAAAAAAACUACACAUGUAUGGAAGCUUGGUACAUAACAAAUGUGCAGGUACACCUUGGAAAUAGUACCAGUUCUGUUCCAGACCACAGUAAGGCGAAUAUUGUAAUAAAGUGACUCAAAGAA